rnacentral:lncRNA from 13 species
UGGAAUAGGGUUCUAUUUGGGAUAUGGAAUAGGGUUCUAUUUGGGAUAUGGAAUAGGGUUCUAUUUGGAUAUGGAAUAGGGUUCUAUUUGGAUAUGGAAUAGGGUUCUAUUUGGGAUGCACACUGAAACAAGUGUUCCUUUGCAAAUGGGACCUUAUUCCCUAUAUAGUGUACCACUGGUCUGUUGCUGUCACAUACAGGAAACUACUGCCUUGUCCAUGGUCUGUCACAUACAGGAAACUACUGCCUUGUCCCUGGUCUGUCACAUACAGGAAACUACUGCCUUGUCCCUGGUCUGACACAUACAGGAAACUACUGCCUUGUCCCUGGUCUGACACAUACAGGAAACUACUGCCUUGGUCUGUCACAUACAGGAAACUACUGCCUUGUCCCUGGUCUGUCACAUACAGGAAACUGGUGGAAACUAGGAAACUUUCCCAUAGGUUAAGAGAUAUUCUCUGGACGCCUCAUAGGAAAAUGAUCAUCACCACAAUGGUCUUUCUAAUAUUAAGCCUUAGUCAUAACAUUAUUCAACCGUUAGAAACCAUUACACUGUUAGUACACACACACACACACACACACAUAGUAAUCCAUUUAAAGCAUUGA